rnacentral:rRNA from 1 species
GAUGAACGCUGGCGGCGUGCCUAAUACAUGCAAGUCGAGCGAACAGACGAGGAGCUUGCUCCUCUGACGUUAGCGGCGGACGGGUGAGUAACACGUGGAUAACCUACCUAUAAGACUGGGAUAACUUCGGGAAACCGGAGCUAAUACCGGAUAAUAUAUUGAACCGCAUGGUUCAAUAGUGAAAGACGGUUUUGCUGUCACUUAUAGAUGGAUCCGCGCCGCAUUAGCUAGUUGGUAAGGUAACGGCUUACCAAGGCAACGAUGCGUAGCCGACGUGAGAGGGUGAUCGGCCACACUGGAACUGAGACACGGUCCAAACUCCUACGGGAGGCAGCAGUAGGGAAUCUUCCGCAAUGGGCGAAAGCCUGACGGAGCAACGCCGCGUGAGUGAUGAAGGUCUUCGGAUCGUAAAACUCUGUUAUUAGGGAAGAACAAAUGUGUAAGUAACUAUGCACGUCUUGACGGUACCUAAUCAGAAAGCCACGGCUAACUACGUG